CCCUGGUGGCUCUGACGGUAAAGAAUCUGCCUGCAAUACAGGAGACUCAGGUUCGAUCCCUGGGUCAGGGA
rnacentral:tRNA from 1 species